AAAGUCUGCUUCUCGUUUCAUUUCCCAUACAUGUUCAAACUCAUCGUUGUUUGUUGUUGUAUUGAUUUUUAGUUCCUGUUAUGUGGAGAAUUUUUUGCUCUGGUUUUUAGGUAAUGAAUCUAGGGUUUUUAAAUCGGAGAAUGGGUUGCAAUUCGAUGUAUUGUAUUUGGUCGAAAUGGUUUUCUUUCCGGAAUGUGUGGUGUGGUGGUCUUCGUGUCCUUGUGGCGGUGUUGGUAGUGAGUUGGAGGAUUUGAGAUGGUGGGUAGUGUGCCGAUGGUCUAUAUUUCUUCCGGGUAUAAUGUUACUGUAGUUUUUCUUUGGUCUUCUGCGUUCUGGAAGUUACCUGUUUGCUGUUUGGGCGAUUUCCUGGGUCAUGUCUCGUGAUGCGUUAUUUUAACCGAUCUUCAUACAUUUAUAUCAUCUACUAAAUAUUAAGUCUUGAGAAAAAUUUCCCAAUACGAAAGUUCUAUUUUUGGUUCAGUUCUUGUUUCAUACUCCUAACCAAUUACGUUAGCUUAGUUGUUGUGUCUUAUUAGUCAUAGUACAAUUUUUCUCACACUAUAUUGUUGAAGUGAUUUUUUUUUGUAAGGCUCAUGAAAUUGUUAAAAUGUCAGGACUUGGAUCGGACACCAGAUGUCUUUUGCUUCAAUCAAGAAUUAUUUGUGUUUUGUUUGGUGUGCUUUUUGUGUAAUGGACUGGGUAAGGAUUUGGUGCUGUAAGAAGGCUAUGUUUAGGCACUGGACUUGAGAAAGUUGGGAGCAGUUUGACGUUAGCAAGUUGUAGAAACUGUGGUGUGCAUAUUGUUUGCGUGUUCCUCUUCAACUUCAACUUUUGUUUUCCUAUUACUAUUAGCUUUUACCUUGGGAAAAAGAAAUAGUUCUGGGCUUAGUUAUCCUUGAAAUACCUAAUAUUGAUGGAAGCUUCCUAGAGUUGGAUUUGGAUGCAUUCUAUUAUACCUGUCGGAAUGAAAGCCUUCCCUCCUGGAUUCCGAUUUCAUCCUACUGAUGUUGAGCUGAUUAUGUAUUAUCUCAAGAGGAAGAUUAUGGGAAAGAAGCUUUUCGCAGAUGCCAUUGCUGAAGUCAACAUCUAUACAUUCUCUCCAUGGGACCUUCCAGACAAAUCUUGCUUAAAGAGUAAGGAUCUGGAGUGGUACUUCUUUUGUCCGAUAACAAAGAAGUAUGCAAGCGGAGCUAGGGUGAAACGGGCUACUGAUACGGGAUUCUGGAAAACUACUGGAAAGGACAGGUCGAUCAAUUUUAAUGAUAGAACUGUUGGAAUGGUGAGGACGUUGAUUUUUCAUCUUGGUCAUGCCCCUCAAGGGAAAAGAACUGAUUGGGUUAUGUAUGAGUUCAGGAUCCUUGAUGACCAAUUGGCUGUUGAUGGCAUCCAGGACACAUAUGUUAUCUGUAAGAUUUUCAAGAAGGCUGGUCUUGGCCCAAUGAAUGGUGCACAAUAUGGAGCCCCAUUUAAUGAAGAAGAAUGGUCUGAUGAAGACAUAGAUGAUUGUCAGAGCCGAUCUAUACCAGCUACAUCUGAUGUUCUAUCACCUACCACACUAAUGCAGUCAGAAAAGCGAAGCUGUUCUCUCAUAACAGACUUGUUCACUCCUGGAAGUAUAUCUGCAUUGCCUUUGACUGACAGUGGAGAAGGCCCGUCAUCAUUGGCUGGUCGACCAAUUAAUGAGGUGGUUCUGAAUAAGUCUAAUGAUGAAACUUCUCAUCACUUAGCAACAUCUACUGAUGAUAUAUUGCUGUUCGAUGAAAAUGGAACAUUCCAGGAUGAUUUAAACAGCAAAGGAAAGAACAACCCCCUACCUAAUCCUGAAGCUUAUGGUAUAUACAGUGAUUAUUUUGAUCUGGAUGGAGGGGCUCAAACGAAUGAGAGUAAGUUUGUUACCUUAGGAGUGAAGAAUGAUGAGUGUUCUUUCGACGGCAUGCUUUCCAUAGAUGAUCAAGCCUAUAUAGAGAUUAAUGAUCUUUUGACCCCAUUGAACUGCUCGGCUGGAGUAAGUGGAUCUGGUCAGGCAUCAAUAGGCGAGAUGGUUGGAUUGCAGUGCCAUGAAAAUAUUACAAAUGUGAAUUCAGGAACCUCUGUUGCUGUUAAUCAGUAUGCUUCUUGCUCACGGCCACUUCCUGCACUACAUGAAGAAUGUUGUGGAGAUGAUAAGAUUUUGGACAUGCUACAGAUGGAUAUAAACAGUGAAGGAAAGAACAACCCCUUACCUAGUCCUGAAGCUUAUGGUAUAUACAAUGAUCUUUGUCAUCUGGAUGGAUGGGCUCAUACAAGCGAGGGCAUGCUUGUUUCCUUAGAAGCACAGAAUGAUGAGUAUUCUUUUGGUGGCAUGCUUACCGUAGAUGAUCAAGCCUGUUUAGAGAUUAAUGAUCUUUUGACCCCUUUGAACUGCUCAUCUGGAGUAAUUGGAUCUGGUCAGCCAUCAAUUGGCGAGAGAGUUGGACCGCACAGGUUUAAAAAUAUUGCAAAUGUGACUUCAGGAACCUCUGUUGCUGUUCCUGCAGUGCAUGAAGAAUGUUAUAGAGAUAAAAAUGUUUUGGACAUGCUACAGUUGGAUAACAAUCAAUUUCAUAUGGGAUCCGAUGCUGCAUUUGAUUUUGGCACCAUACAAAGGCAAUGGGUGAAUGGGGCUAAGUUCGAAGGCAUGGAAAGAGGUAGAUAUGCUGAUAACUGAUGAUAAUUCUUCUUGUGGGACGUCUAUUCACGAUCUAUUCAAGCCUUAAAUCAUAAUCCAUGCUUAUUAACUGCCAGAUAUUUGUAGCUCUGAAGGGAAUAAGCUUGUCUUUAAGAAAAUCCCUUCUCCGAACUCUGAUUCUACUUUUGACAAGGCAUAUUUACUAGUUAUGUGUGUUCUAGAUCCUAUCAUCAUUUCAAAUCCAGUGAGUUAUGGGAAACUAAGUGCAAAAUUUAGAUUAUGACUGUACUGUUAUUGAAAGUUACGGAAAUGUGGAAUCUUGGUUGAUGUUGCGUUAACCUCUUGUUUACCUCAUUGGAUGUUGCAGGAACACUUAUAAAAAUAUGUAGAUCAAGAUUAACGACUUCCAUUCCAGCUCGAACACCAUCAGCUGCUGAGCACCUUAUACUUUCAUUUUCUACUUGUGGCUCCUCCAUUCAUAUCAAGGCUGAGGUGACUCAUAG